rnacentral:lncRNA from 1 species
CGGGGCGGGGAGGCGAGGGGAGGCUCGGGGAGUCCGGGCCCCUCCGGAGGGGGCCGCGGGCUCAGGGCGGCGGAGGCCGGGAAGAGGGGCGCGGGUGGAGGCGCUUGGAUGUGGGGAGUUCCCUCAGAGGGGCGCGGAGUCCGGCCGGAAAGUGCGACUCAAGGCGCCGAAAGGGCCAGGAAGGGGGCCGGGGAGGGGCCUGUCGCCCCAACUGAAAGGCACAGUCACCUGCAAAGGAGGAGCCGUGAGCGGAAGCAGAACGAGGACCUCACGGACACCCUGGAGCGCUCCACUGCGGGCUCGGCGUCUUGACGUCACCGCCGGCGCGCGCAGGGCACGUCGGAAGUUGGCCCCGGAAGGCCAGGGGAGGUACCCUGAGGGUGCGUCGGAAGCAGACGGGUUCAUCAGAAAGAAGAAAAGACCUGAGAAACUGUUCUAUGAUGUGUGAUUGCCAAAUGAGUUCCUGAGGUAGAAUAAAGGAUGUGUCUGAAAAAAACGUAAACUGUAAGUAAAGUUUUGAGCUUGUCUUGGUUACUUUUCUCUCAUUGCUGAGACAAAACACCCAAUGCCCAAAAUUAAGGAAGGAGAGGUUUGUUUAGCUCACAAUUUGUGGAGGUUUCAGUCCAUACUUGGCUGGCUCCAAGGCAGAGUGGCACAUGGCAGAGGGCAACCGUUCAUGGUGGUGGAAGACAGCAAAACAACAAGUGCAAACGGGAGGAGUGGCAGAGAGCAAGCCUCUUUCCCUCCCUG